UCUUAGAAGUUAAGAAUUUAUCUGCCUUCUUCGCCUCUUUCUUGUUUCCUACUCUUGCUCGCUGCCCCACGGUUGCCUGACAGAGCGGCUCCGAGGCUCUGCCGCUAGAGGCUUGUCGGUGAGAGGGUCCGAAGGGAGGAGUCGUCCUGUCGGGAUACCCUAGGGGGAGGAGCGGGCAGCACCAGAGGGAUAUCAGAAGUUGCAAAAAAGCCUCUGAGGAAGGUCAGGAUGCCAGAGAGGAAUACCUGGGAGGCCGCACUGAAUGGUGUUUUGGCACUGUGGCUCUGGAGAUGGCCGCUAACUCUGUGACUACCUCCUCAAGGCCUGUUUCCUCAUCCGGAGCUCACCAGCUGGCCUGGGAGGGCUGCCUGCCCACUCUGGUUGCCAGGAUGUUUGGCCGUUUCCUGGAACUUCUGGUCCUGUCAUCAUCCUUGAGCCCUUUCCAGCCUGAACACAACUGGGGCUAGUGUUCCAGAUCUGACGUCAGUCCCACGGUGCUGGGUCCAGAUUCAUCCCCGGGAAUCUUAUUCUGUGUUGCCAGGGAGAUUUACACCCCUGGGAGUCAGCUGCAUUUUAACUCUCCAGGCGAUUCUGGUGGUCAUCCAUGGAACUACAUCUUGAGAGAUGUACACCUGAUAUCCAUCCGAUUCCAGGGGAAACCAGGAGGCUGAUAGGUAUUGCCAACAUACGACCUGCCUUUGCAUGUACACCCUUGGUUAUGUUUUUUGACUUUGAUUUGGAAAUAGAUGUCCUCAGUGUUUGGCUUCUUAUAUACGGAUGUCAUCCCUGUUCUGG